GGAUAAAGAAGAAGUAUUGCCGUUUGUGUACUUACCCUUACCCUAUGAUUAGGCUUAGGAGUGUAAAUCAGAAUAUUUAGGCCUAGUGUCAAACAAAUGAAUUAAUUGUCCUCGGAAUAUGUACCAAACUAAAAAUCUGACUCAUUGGCCAUUGUAAUUAGAAUUUAGAGUCAGACUGGGAGAAAUUUCAGAAUAAACUGAAAGAAAUAAACCAGCUAUUUUUACGAAGUGUCAUGCAGAAGACCCAUUACGAAGUAUGACUGUUCUUAGGAUCUUGUAGAAGGAAAAUAUUUGCAUCAGCUGAUGGAUUCCCAUCUAACCAGUAUUCAGAUGUAGUAUCUCCAUUGUGAUGUAAACUAUCAACUUAUCUACAUACUUGGCACGAGUCCCAACUCCGUGGUGAUAUACCUGAUAUAUCUAGUUUACUAUUACAACCACUAAAUAUGGUCUUGAACUGAGUGGUUGACUAAUUGAUGGUGGAUAUCAGUUCCGUACCUCGUCUUCUUGGUUGAAAUGGCU